rnacentral:misc_RNA from 1 species
UGCUGCCGUUGAUGAUCCUGGCCAACCUGUUCGCGCUGCUGUUCGCGGCGUCGAAGGGAUCGUCGUCGGCGAUCGGCGAGGUGAUGACCUUCGGCUCGAUCGGCCAGAAGCGGCUGCGCAAGGGCGAGGCCCAGCCGAUCACCUUCGCCGACGUGGCCGGCUGCGACGAGGCUGUCGCCGAGCUGGUCGAGGUGCGUGACUAUCUGCGCGACCCGUCGAAGUACGAGCUGAUCGGAGCCAUGCCGCCCAAGGGCGUGCUGCUGUUCGGCCCG